GCGCAGGAAAAGAAACCAACAGGGAUUGCCUCAGUAACGGCGAGUGAAGCGGCAAAAGCUCAAAUUUGAAAUCUGGCGCCUUUGGCGUCCGAGUUGUAAUUUGUAGAGGUAGCUUUGGGUGUACAGCCAGGUUUAUGUUCCUUGGAACAGGACGUCAUGGAGGGUGAGAAUCCCGUAAAUGACUUGGCCAGUGCCUAUGUAUAGCGCCUUCGACGAGUCGAGUUGUUUGGGAAUGCAGCUCUAAGUGGGUGGUAAAUUCCAUCUAAAGCUAAAUACUGGCGAGAGACCGAUAGCGCACAAGUAGAGUGAUCGAAAGGUGAAAAGCACUCCGGAAGGAGAGUUAAACAGCACGUGAAAUUGUUGAAAGGGAAGCGCUUGAGACCAGACUCAGGCAGGGUUGAUCAACCUCCAUUCUUGGUGGUGCACUCUUCUCUGCCCGGGCCAGCAACAGUUUCGGCGGUGGUAUAAAGGUUUAGGGAAUGUGGCUCUCUUCGGGGAGUGUUAUAGCCCUAUUCGUAAUGCUGCCAGUUGAGACUGAGGACCGCGCUUCGGCUAGGUUGUUGGCGUAAUGGUCUUAAGCGACCCGUCUUGAAACACGGACCAAGGAGUCUAACAUCUAUGCGAGUGUUUGGGUGGAAAACCCUUACGCGUAAUGAAAGUGAACGGAGGUAGGAUCCCCGCAAGGGCGCACUAUCGACCGAUCCUGAUGUUCUCGGAUGGAUUUGA
rnacentral:rRNA from 1 species